AUUGAACGCUGGCGGCAGGUCUAACACAUGCAAGUCGAACGAGUGGCGGACGGGUGAGUAAUGUCUGGGAAACUGCCCGAUGGAGGGGGAUAACUACUGGAAACGGUAGCUAAUACCGCAUACCAUCAGAUGUGCCCAGAUUGGAUUAUCUAGUAGGUGGGGUAAUGGUUCACCUAGGCGACGAUCCCUAGCUGAUCUGAGAGGAUGCCCAGCCACACUGGAACUGAGACACGGUCCAGACUCCUACGGGAGGAAGCAGGGGGGAAUAUUGCACAAUGGGCGCAAGCCUGAUGCAGCCAUGCCGCGUGUAUGAAGAAGGCCGUCGGGUUUUAAAGUACUUUCAGCGAGGAGGCGUUACUCGCAGAAGAAGCACCGGCUAACUCCGUGCCAGCAGCCGCGGUAAUAC
rnacentral:rRNA from 1 species